AACGAACGCUGGCGGUAGGCUUAACACAUGCAAGUCGAGCGCCCCGCAAGGGGAGCGGCAGACGGGUGAGUAACGCGUGGGAACGUACCCUUUGCUACGGAAUAGCUCCGGGAAACUGGAAUUAAUACCGUAUGUGCCCUACGGGGGAAAGAUUUAUCGGCAAAGGAUCGGCCCGCGUUGGAUUAGCUAGUUGGUGGGGUAAUGGCCUACCAAGGCGACGAUCCAUAGCUGGUCUGAGAGGAUGAUCAGCCGCAUUGGGACUGAGACACGGCCCAAACUCCUACGGGAGGCAGCAGUGGGGAAUAUUGGACAAUGGGCGCAAGCCUGAUCCAGCCAUGCCGCGUGAGUGAUGAAGGCCUUAGGGUUGUAAAGCUCUUUCACCGGAGAAGAUAAUGACGGUAUCCGGAGAAGAAGCCCCGGCUAACUUCGUGCCAGCAGCCGCGGUAACAC
rnacentral:rRNA from 1 species